rnacentral:rRNA from 1 species
GAUGAACGCUGGCGGCGUGCCUAAUACAUGCAAGUCGAGCGAACAGACGAGGAGCUUGCUCCUUUGACGUUAGCGGCGGACGGGUGAGUAACACGUAGGUAACCUACCUAUAAGACUGGGAUAACUUCGGGAAACCGGAGCUAAUACCGGAUAAUAUUUUGAACCGCAUGGUUCGAUAGUGAAAGACGGCUUUGCUAUCACUUAUAGAUGGAUCUGCGCCGUAUUAGCUAGUUGGUAAGGUAACGGCUUACCAAGGCAACGAUGCGUAGCCGACCUGAGAGGGUGAUCGGCCACACUGGAACUGAGACACGGUCCAGACUCCUACGGGAGGCAGCAGUAGGGAAUCUUCCGCAAUGGGCGAAAGCCUGACGGAGCAACGCCGCGUGAGUGAUGAAGGUCUUCGGAUCGUAAAACUCUGUUAUUAGGGAAGAACAAAUGUGUAAGUAACUGUGCACGUCCUGACGGUACCUAAUCAGAAAGCCACGGCUAACUACGUG